GAUGAACGCUGGCGGCGUGCCUAAUACAUGCAAGUCGAGCGAACAGACGAGGAGCUUGCUCCUCUGACGUUAGCGGCGGACGGGUGAGUAACACGUGGAUAACCUACCUAUAAGACUGGGAUAACUUCGGGAAACCGGAGCUAAUACCGGAUAAUAUAUUGAACCGCAUGGUUCAAUAGUGAAAGACGGUUUUGCUGUCACUUAUAGAUGUAUCCGCGCCGCAUUAGCUAGUUGGUAAGGUAACGGCUUACCAAGGCGACGAUGCGUAGCCGACCUGAGAGGGUGAGCGGCCACACUGGAACUGAGACACGGUCCAGACUCCUACGGGAGGCAGCAGUAGGGAAUCUGCCGCAAUGGGCGAAAGCCUGACGGAGCAACGCCGCGUGAGUGAUGAAGGUCUUCGGAUCGUAAAACUCUGUUAUUAGGGAAGAACAAAUGUGUAAGUAACUAUGCACGUCUUGACGGUACCUAAUCAGAAAGCCACGGCUAACUACGUG
rnacentral:rRNA from 1 species